rnacentral:piRNA from 1 species
UGGGAUAAAAACCAAAAGCAACUUAGAAAA